UAUCUCCCUCGCGUCUCCUCCAACCUCUUCCUCUCUAGGGUUUUCUCCUCAACCAUUUUCUAGGGUUUUAGACUCGUUCGCUCCUCUCAACCUCACACACGAUGGUCGGAUUGGGAAGGAUCGUUCGUCGAGACGAUCCCCCUUGAGCUCGCACGUGAUCGUCGCUUGGGAGGACCUUCGCUGAGGUGAUUCCUCUUGAGCUCGCACGCGAUCCUCUUGAGCUCACACGCGAUCCACUCCAACAGCUGAGAUCUCGCCAUGGAUCGAUCGAUGGGAGCUCGGGGGUCAGUGAUCUUGUCAGGGCUCGUGACCACAGGUAUGUUGGCAAUGUGCAUGUUCAAGUAACUGAAGCACUACUCCAAGAGGUUUUCCAGAGUACUGGUCCAGUUGAAGGAUGCAAGCUCAUUAGGAAAGAAAAGUCAUCCUUUUGUUUUGUUGACUAUUAUGACCCCGGAUCUGUUGCACUCGCUAUUAUGACGCUCAAUGGGAGGCAUUUGUUCGGUCAGCCUAUUAAAGCUAACUGGGUAUAUGCAAGUGGGCAGAGAGAGGGUACAUCAGGUUCAAUUUAGGGAUUGCAGGAAUGAAAUGAAAUAGAAAUGGAGUGCUUUUGCGAAAGGGUCUUUGUUUUUAGAAAUUUUUCAUACAUUGUAUUAUUCUCACAAUUCUGUCUUUUGGCUAGUAAAUUUUCAUUUUUGCCUUUUUCUGGGAACAGGGCAUUUCAACAUUUUUGUUGGGGAUCUUGCCCCAGAAGUCACUAACGCUACCUUAUAUACAUGCUUCUCCGUUUAUCCUAGCUGCUCGGAUGCUAAAAUUAUGUGCGACCAAAAAACAGGGCGUUUAAGAGGAUUUGGAUUUUUUUCAUUCAGGAACCAGCAGGAUAGAUUCUGAAUGCAUUGCAAACUUGAUAUUUUAGUAAUUAAUUAUCUAAACACUCCCUAAUAUCAUACAAGUGUAUAUUCUUUUGGCAGGAUACACAAAGUGCUAUAAAUGAUUUAACUGGUAAGCUCUUUUUCUUUAGCUUGGAAAGGUGAAUUUGUAUUGAAGUAAUGUUCCGCUUAUAGUUGCUAAACAUUUAGUAAAUAUAAAUCAUUUAUUGAAGUUUUUCUAUUGUUUGAGAAGAAUGAAAAAUUACGUCUUCAAUAUAAUAAUUAUAUGAUCGGUUUCUAGUGUGAGAAUUUAGAUUGGAUAAUUUCUCUUCUUGGUAUCCUUGUCCCUUUCUUGUGCUGCUCCUUCAUAGCAACUUGAUAUUGAUAUGGAUUGGUUCUCAUGACAUGUGGAAAGUAGAUGUUUUGUUCAAUAUUUCUGAAAUAUAUGACUCUAUACGUUGAGCACUUCAGAAGCAGCUUGCUUUGUAAGUCAAAAAUAGGAUUAAGAGCUCACAUUUACUCACGAGUGAAUCGGCCCCAACACUAGUUCUACUUAAAGCAUGAUUUUUUGAGCUUUGUCAUCGACUUGAACAAGCUUUCAAAGUGGAGCAAUGAAUUUUGAGGAUGUAUAAUUUGGGAUUUCUUCGAGAUUAUGUGUUUUGAGCUACUGUGUCAUUUCUAAAAAACUGUUUUUGGAUAUUAUAAUUUUUUAUCAUUUUAUUGAUGUUGAGGAUGUGAGGAACAAUUAGUAUUUUGGUUUCA